CUCUCCGAUGAUGAAACUGGUGGAAUACGUUCUCGCCGGUCUUGGUCCGGAGUUUGAAUCCCUGGUGACUUCACUCACCACGCGGAUUGAAUCGGUGUCCAUCGAUGAGCUCUACUCCCAGCUGCUCACCUUUGAAG
rnacentral:snoRNA from 1 species